rnacentral:rRNA from 1 species
UACGAGGGGGGGCGAGCGUUUGUUCGGAAUUAUUGGGCGUAAAGGGUGCGUAGGCGGCCUGACAAGUCUGAUGUGAAAUCCCUGGGCUCAACCCAGGGCCUGCAUCGGAAACUGUCGGGCUUGAGUAUGGGAGAGGUGAGUGGAAUUUCCGGUGUAGCGGUGAAAUGCGUAGAUAUCGGAAGGAACACCAGUGGCGAAGGCGGCCGCCUGGACAAAAACUGACACUGAGACACGAAAGCGUGGGGAGCAAACAGGG